CAGCAGCCGCGGUAAUACGGAGGGUGCAAGCGUUAAUCGGAAUUACUGGGCGUAAAGCGCACGCAGGCGGUCUGUCAAGUCAGAUGUGAAAUCCCCGGGCUUAACCUGGGAACUGCAUUUGAAACUGGCAGACUGGAGUCUUGUAGAGGGGGGUAGAAUUCCAGGUGUAGCGGUGAAAUGCGUAGAGAUCUGGAGGAAUACCGGUGGCGAAGGCGGCCCCCUGGACAAAGACUGACGCUCAGGUGCGAAAGCGUGGGGAGCAAACAGGAUUAGAUACCCGAGUAGUCCCUGUCUCUUAUAC
rnacentral:rRNA from 1 species